rnacentral:rRNA from 1 species
CCUACGUGAGGCAGCAGUGGGGAAUAUUGCGCAAUAGGCGAAAGCCUGACGCAGCGACGCCGCGUGAGGGAUGAAGGUCUUCGGAUCGUAAACCUCUGUCAGCAGGGAAGAACGGUCACUGUGCUAAUCAGCAGUGAAUUGACGGUACCUGCAAAGGAAGCACCGGCUAACUCCGUGCCAGCAGCCGCGGUAAUACGGAGGGUGCGAGCGUUAAUCGGAAUUACUGGGCGUAAAGCGCUCGUAGGCGGUAUGUCAAGUCAAGGGUGAAAUCCCCGCGCUCAACGUGGGAACUGCCUUUGAAACUGGCAAACUGGAGUGUGUGAGAGGAUAGUGGAAUUCCAGGUGUAGGAGUGAAAUCCGUAGAUAUCUGGAGGAACAUCAGUGGCGAAGGCGACUAUCUGGCACAUAACUGACGCUGAGGAGCGAAAGCGUGGGUAGCAAACAGGAUUAGAUACCCUGGUAGUC